UGUAAAAAUAGAAUUUGGUACAUUGAGUGGAAAUUAAUUUAAGGUACUUAAGGAGGAAACUAGUCUUGGGUGAGUAUUUAUUGAUUUAAUAAUUGCGUUGAUUUUUGCUUUUCAGGUACGUUUUGUGAGGGCUAAGUUGGAGGCCCAGGUGCGCCGCGUCUUGUGGCCGUAUCGCCAGGAGUGGCAGCUUGGGCCGCCGGUUCGAGGUUUGUUGCAGAGGGCCGCCGCAACUAAAUAGGCAUGGAAAUGGAUGCAAGAAUAGUA